AAGUCGUAACAAGGUUUCCGUAGGUGAACCUGCGGAAGGAUCAUUACCGAUCAAAACACCGGGGUUUAUACCCUUUUGCUUGUGGAUUGACAACGUCACUUGGGGGUUCGAGCAUUCGGCCCCCAGCAUUAUUAAACUCUUCUAAAUUCACAGUCAAUUAAACAAGUUAAUAAACACAACUUGUAGCGAUGGAUCUCUUGGCUCUG
rnacentral:misc_RNA from 1 species